rnacentral:lncRNA from 1 species
GAGCAAUCUGCUCCCUCAGAGCCUGAUUCUCCGCCAGUAAUUGUUCCAUCAAUGCAUCUCUACUUCCUACCUCUCCUUGAUCAUCAACCCUCCGUCUAUCAGCAGGAGGAGAUUUUUCUCUUUAGGGGUCGACAUGUGCAGAACCCGCAUCCAAUGCUAUAUCUGGCUCCAUCCUCUUUCCAGGACGAGCAGGUCCUCUCCUUGGAGGUAUUCUUUAUAUGUCUCUAAAGGAGUUAAAAAGAAAGGGCAGUCGUUACACACUGAGUCAUAAUAUAUUUUACUGAAUUGUAAAUGACUCAUAAAUUAAUAUAUAG